CUCGUACUGUACACAUAGAUUUCCUCACAGUGGACAGGAGUAGGUCGACCGAGCCGCGGCUGAACUUGAUGGACAAGAAGGCUGCAUUUUCAUGCUCGUGGUACUUGCUAAAAUGAUGGGUUUGAUGGAGCUGACCUGUGUUGGAGCUUUAGACCGAUACCAAACAGACCUUCAUGCUUUUUAAGAACGCAGUUUCUGCCACAACAUGGCCGGGAGUCAGAACAACUACUGGGGACAGCAUGACCUCAACAGAAUGUGCUUCCGUCUGAGUGCUGACAUGGAACACAACCUGACAGAGCUCCAGCAACAGCGAAUGGCCGAGGAAUUCAAUGGUGAGUCUUUUAUAUAG